GACCCGUCAACAACCUUCGCGUCCGCCAUUUUAGUAGUCAAUAAAGAUGGCGUCGAUCAUCGGUUCGGAAGUAGAAAUCCAAGAAGUGGAGAUUGAAACAGUGGCGGUGGAUUUACCAAUAGAAACUGUUGAAACUUCAGAUAAUACAAUCGAAGUGCAGCCUAUGAUUGCUCUACAGCCAUUACCGGACACAGGCCAUGAAGAAAUUGUUUUACAAACGCGAGAAGAAGUCGUUGGAGACCUCGUGGGGGACGGGAUGGGAGUCCCAGCCCCUGAUAUAGAACUCGUCACUGAGGAUGUGACUACAUCGAGAAAAGGAAAGGGUGGCAAAAGAAAGACUGCCAGAUCAAAAUUCAUUGCUGCGGAAUCUGUGGCUGGGUUAAAUGCUCUUGGACUUGAUCAUAUGCCAUCUUCUAACAAGAAAUGGGAACAGAAACAAGUUCAAAUAAAAACUCUAGAAGGCGAAUUUUCGGUCACAAUGUGGGCUUCUGGAGAUGACAAGAAAUUGGAAGAAGAUUCCAGUGUGUCAGAGUCUGAUGCAGACUUUACAGAGUACAUGACUGGUAGGAAAUUGCCACCAGGGGGAAUUCCAGGCCUUGAUCUCAGUGAUCCGAAACAGCUUGCAGAGUUUGCAAGCAUUAAGCAACGAAAGCCUUCUGAUGAUGUUCCCAGAACUGUUCCGUGUCCGCACAAAGGUUGCAACAAGAUGUUCAGAGACAACUCUGCAAUGAGGAAGCAUCUUCACACACAUGGCCCUAGAGUGCACGUAUGUGCAGAGUGCGGCAAGGCGUUUGUUGAGAGCUCCAAAUUGAAGAGACACCAGUUGGUACACACAGGAGAGAAACCUUUUCAGUGCACAUUUGAGGGAUGUGGAAAACGUUUUUCACUGGACUUCAACUUGCGAACACAUGUCCGAAUACAUACCGGGGAUCGUCCCUAUGUUUGUCCAUUUGAUGGUUGCAACAAGAAAUUUGCACAGUCAACAAAUCUCAAGUCUCACAUACUCACACAUGCAAAGACAAAUAGUCAGCUCGGUGCCUCAUACGCCACCUCCCCAGAACUAGAUCACGCCCAUCUAGAGAUAGGAGGGCAGCAAGGCUACCAGAUCCCAUCCGGUGAGACGAUGCUCAUUGGUUACACCUAUGAGGAGCAGUGACUAGGAGAGGCCAUAGAGAGAGCAGAGGAAAUCGAAUUGUAAGUCGGCCAGUGUUGAAAGAAGUUUUCAUCAGUGAUCAUCGGAAAGAUGUUAAGACUCGUUGCAACAAUGCCUGUGAUGGUUCUGUCCUAGGAUCGUGUUGCUAUCAUGCUUUUGCUGCUGCUACAAUCUGUGCUCAUGUAACUGGGCACCGCAUUCUAUACAUGGACAGACUGGUGGUCAGUUAUGGUAUUUGUGGUGGAUUUAGGCUUAGACUGGCCUUGUUUAAGUCAUGGACUUGAGGCAUAACAGUGUUCACACCUUGUCUUGUACAAGGCACAUACAAAUCAGUUGUAGAAAAAUUAUUACAUACUAGUUUCUAAAAUUUUAAAAGUAUAGCUUGCUAAGACUAACCUGAUUCUCAUCUUUAUGAUUGGAUAUAUUAAAGAAACAUUGUAAGAUGUAUUUGUGUUUUUAACUGUAAGCAGUUUAAAUAAAUGCAAAAUAUCCUGAUAAAACACUUCCUAUUGUGUCAUUACCUUGAGAAACAUUCCCAUGAACAAAUCCAAUUAUAAAUAUAAGAUAGAAUUGAAGCAUGUAAUUUUUGCCCAUAGCAUACACAAGUAUGGGGUUAAUGUUGGGCAAGCUAUACCUGUAUGUUCAAUACUUUCAUCAGAAAACAUAGUAAUUUAAAACUGCAUUGUGUACAUAUAUCAGAAAUCCUAUUUUGUAAAAAGCAAAGCAAAUUUAUUGAAUGGGAUUCUUGUAAUUAUGUCACAUGUAAUGCAUUAAAAAAACUUGAUAAUCUGUGCAUGUUAUUGAUCAGUUUAUUGAUCUCUAAAUCACUUACUAUAAUUAUAAGCAACAAUUAAAAAAAGAACUGUUUGUAUUUCAUGAUUAUUUGAUAAUUUCAAUCGUUACUCUGUAAUCCAUUAUUGAAAAAAACUUCAUAUGAUCUACAUCUAUUGCAUUUAUAUGUAAAUAGGCACUUCAUAAUUUAUAAAAUACUUUGGUUAUGUAUAAAUGAUAGGCAAGUAUUUUGUGAAAUGCCACAAUCACAUUGAAUUGAUUCAUUUCACACCCAGCAACCAUUGUUAAAAAAAUCUAACCUGUGCUGGAAUUGCUGAUAUUUUCCAAUCUUAAGCACCCAAAGAUCUAACAUUUUUACUCUUUAAAAGAAAGAGUACAGAUGAAGUUUAAGCUUUUUAGCUUACCUAAGCACAAUAUGCUCAUACUUAAGCUUGGUGAUCACCUUUUGUGUAUGAUGGUCAACAAUAUUUGCCUUGUGAACACUCUUGAGGCCACAUUUAUAGUUCAAUCUUCAUGAAACUUGAACAUUUGUACCCAUGAUAAUUGACCAGGGUUCACAACUGGUUCAAACGAAGUCAUAGUGAAGAAAAAGCUUGUGCAUACUCUAAAGGCAACAUUUAUUGCCCAAUCUUCAUGAAACUUUGAACAUUUGUGCUAAGGAAAUUUCAACAAUUGAAACAGGGUCUCUGCUGAGUUCAAUUCUGGGUGACAUGGAUAAAAAUCUAGAUGACUUGAGCAAUUAAAGGAGAAGCUUGUGAACACUAAAGAAGUCAAUUUGCUUGAUCUUGGUGAACUUUGCUCUGAAGAUUUGUUUUAAUGAUUUAUUAGACCAGGAAAAUAUGGUUUGUGACCUUUGAAAAACAUGUCCGCCAUGAGGCGUACUUUUUCAUUAUGUAGC